CCCUCAGAUGUUCUGGGCCGCACGCGCGCUACACUGAUGAAUUCAACGAGCUCCUAACCUAGGCCGAAGGGUCCGGGUAAUCUUUGAAAUUUCAUCGUGAUGGGGAUAGAUUAUUGCAAUUAUUAAUCUUCAACGAGGAAUUCCUAGUAAGCGCGAGUCAUCAGCUCGCGUUGAUUACGUCCCUGCCCUUUGUACACACCGCCCGUCGCUCCUACCGAUUGAAUGGUCCGGUGAAAUGUUCGGACCGCGACAAGGCGGACGGUUCGCUGUCAGCUUUGCUGCGGGAAGUUCAUUAAACCUUAUCAUUUAGAGGAAGGAGAAGUCGUAACA
rnacentral:rRNA from 1 species